rnacentral:rRNA from 1 species
AACGAACGCUGGCGGCAUGCCUAACACAUGCAAGUCGAACGAUUGCCUCCGGGUGAUAGUGGCGCACGGGUGCGUAACGCGUGGGAAUCUGCCCGUAGGUUCGGAAUAACAGCUGGAAACGGCUGCUAAUACCGGAUGAUAUCGCGAGAUCAAAGAUUUAUCGCCUGAGGAUGAGCCCGCGUUGGAUUAGGUAGUUGGUGGGGUAAAGGCCUACCAAGCCGACGAUCCAUAGCUGGUCUGAGAGGAUGAUCAGCCACACUGGGACUGAGACACGGCCCAGACUCCUACGGGAGGCAGCAGUGGGGAAUAUUGGACAAUGGGCGCAAGCCUGAUCCAGCAAUGCCGCGUGAGUGAUGAAGGCCCUAGGGUUGUAAAGCUCUUUUACCCGGGAAGAUAAUGACUGUACCGGGAGAAUAAGCCCCGGCUAACUCCGUG